AUGAACCUGAACCAAAAACCUCAAUGCCCCAAGCUGUCUCAAUCCCUACUGAGCUGCAUCAAUCUGUACCAAGUUCUACCAGGCCAUACUGGGCUGCUCCAGGCCAUGGUAAGCCAUGCUGUACCAGACUGUGCCAAGCCGUGCCAAACCGUGCCACACUGUGCCAAGCUGUGCCAGGCUGUGCAUCGCAGGCAGCAGUGGCAGCGGGUGACAUCAGGUGGCAGAUCGAAGGCUGCCCGUGGCUUAUCAGCUCCCGCUGGCCGUGUUUGCCCAGCAGUGCCUGGGCGGGACCUGCUGCCCCCCCCAGGGCUGCCAGCAGGAGUGUGUGGGGAGGGAUGGCAGCACAGUGGGGCAUGGCUGGGCUCGGACCCCAGCUUGGUCCCCACAUGCAGGGUAGGGUGGGUGAUGAUCAAGCCCAGGAUGGCACUGUCCUCAGCAGCACUGGGGGAUAGCUCACCCCAGCGUACAGGGCCAGACCAGGAGCUCAUGUCAGCUCCCAGGGCAGGGGCAGGACAGCUCUGGAGCAGGGUCUUCCCAUUCCCGAGCCCAGUGCAUGGUGUCCCACCUGAGAGCCCCAGCAGGGGCUGCAGGAGGGGGGACAGGACUGAGUCAGAGUGGCAGCCAUUCCAUGCGUGUCUUCCUGCUGUCACCUGUGGGUUUUCCCAUGUCCUCUGGCCACCCUGUGUUCCCCAGCUAUCCCAUGUCCCCUGUCUGUGCUCUGCACCCCUCUGGGUGGCCACACCAUCAUGUCCCAGUGCCAGAACAGAAAUGGCACAGCAGGACCAUCAGCUGCUCUGUUGUCAUUGCUGCUCCUCUGUCCCUGCAUGGACCAACACAGUCCCAGGCCGUAGGGGAAACAUAGGGCAUCCCAGCACCCUGUCUGCAGUGACAUUGCUACCACCUAGGUGCUGCCCCUGCCCUGGGGCUGGCCCAGAGCUCCCCACAACAGUGUUGUCCAUGCAGCACUGCCCAAUAGAGACACAAGCCCCAGCACCCAAAGUGCCUUUCCUGCUGUGCCCUGACACCCCAAAACGUCCAACCUCCACCCCAGGGCUGCUACUGGGGCCCCACACCCAUUAUGGGGUCUGCAGGGAGCAUGGGGCUGCAGAUGGGGAUCUGGAGCUGCACUGGGGGGUGAGCAGCACUGUGGGACCCCUUGGAGGCUGCAGCCCGGAGGGUUCACCCACUGCAGCCACAGCUCUGUUUGCACAGGCAGCGCUCAAUAAGCACCGUGUUCUUCAGAAGAUCCCUACUCCAGGAGUCAAAAUAGCAUGA
rnacentral:lncRNA from 1 species